UACGGAGGGUGCAAGCGUUGUUCGGAAUCACUGGGCGUAAAGGGUGCGUAGGCGGUCCUAUAAGUCAGUGGUGAAAUACGGCAGCUCAACUGUCGAGGUGCCAUUGAUACUGCAGGACUAGAGUACUGAUGAGGUAGGCGGAAUGGACGGUGUAGCGGUGAAAUGCUUAGAUAUCGUCCAGAACACCGAUAGCGAAGGCAGCUUACUAAAGAGUAACUGACGCUGAGGCACGAAAGUGUGGGGAUCAAACAGG
rnacentral:rRNA from 1 species